rnacentral:lncRNA from 1 species
AGUAACUGAAAUGGACUAAGAUACAGCCAUCAUAUGAAUAUGGGUUUCAGAUGUACAACAAGACAUGGAAAAACUGACAGUGUGAACAGUGAAGAAAAAGGAAGAAAUCCACUUUGGAUCAUGGUUUAGAAGAAAUAUGGGGUCCAAAAAAGGGUUUCUUUUUUGAAUCUGCCAUGCUAUGAAGGACGUGAAAAUCAGUUUUACUGGAAAGAUGAUGGACUCUCAUCUGAGAUUGCCCCCUGGAGGACAUAGGGAGCAACCAGACAGCAUCUGCUUCCUGCUCCAGGGAGGAUCAACAUUAAUUAAUGCAACAGAGCAGCUGGUUCUCUCUGAGCUACUGAUUUGGAUUCAGCUGCAGUGAUUAUUUCUUUGUGCAUCAUUUGGCUUUGUGCAUCAUUUGACUCCUCAAAAGCAUUGAGCACACUCUCACACAAAUGCUUGUGGAUGGACUAUGUGAAAUUGAACCAGAACUUCAGGAAUGAAGAAGUGAAGUCAGAAGAACUAGUAAGCUGGAAACCAAAGGCAGAGAGAAAUACAAUCAAGGAAAUAUUAAACUCAGAUUGAAGACUAAAGGAGUAGUAAUAAAUAUUUCCCCAAGUACAUGAGACUCUCCCUCUCUAUGUUGGCUGUGGAUCCCACUCAAAAUUCAAUCAUGCUAUGAAAAUGUUUUAUCACUCACCUACAUCCUGGAGAAAAGAAUAUCAAGAUGCUUUUUCUCUUCCAAGCUGAAUAACACA